rnacentral:rRNA from 1 species
CCUACGGGUGGCAGCAGUGGGGAAUAUUGGGCAAUGGGCGCAAGCCUGACCCAGCAACGCCGCGUGAAGGAAGAAGGCUUUCGGGUUGUAAACUUCUUUUUUCAGGGACGAAGAAAGUGACGGUACCUGAGGUAUAAGCCUCGGCUAACUACGUGCCAGCAGCCGCGGCAAUACGUAGGUGGCAAGCGUUAUCCGGAUUUAUUGGGUGUAAAGGGCGUGUAGGCGGGAGCGGAAGUCAGAUGUGAAAACUCAGGGCCCAACCCUGAGCGUGCAUUUGAAACUGUGUUUCUUGAGUGCUGGAGAGGCAAUCGGAAUUCCGGGUGUAGCGGUGAAAUGCGUAGAGAUACGGAGGAACACCAGUGGCGAAGGCGGAUUGCUGGACAGUAACUGACGCUGAGGCGCGAAAGCGUGGGGAGCAAACAGGAUUAGAUACCCGGGUAGUC